rnacentral:lncRNA from 1 species
AUGAAAGGUGGCCCCUUACAGAGAAGGUUCAUUUGUCAGGAUAACAGGAGAGAGGCAAGUCCCUUGGAUGAAGAAGUGUUUCCCUUCAAGAUCUCCUGGACAGAAAUAUGUGCACAUGCACUGCACAGCUUGACAAGGAACGUGCAGCGAAUCCAACACAUCCUGGACGUGUUGGAUUUGCUGGGCACACAUGGACCAUCUGGCCAACACAUGGGCCUCGGGUUUGACAUGUCCAGGAAGCAUCUGACUGAUGGUGGAUGCACCAGGCAGGCAGAGGGAGCACAUGCAGGAACCCAGCCCCACUGGCACCGCGGUGGAGGUGGGUGUGAUGCUCACGGAGCUGAUCCGCAGCUGUGCCGGCAUUCCUGGGUUGAUUUCUGGAGCUUCAGACACAGGUAAGUGCCAAAAUCUCAAUGUGCCCCUGGACAAAAUUCAAAAGAGGACGUACCCAAGGAAACAUAUGGUGAUUCUGAUGUUCUAUAAAUUGAAAUUGGGAAUUAUCUGCUUGCAGAAGAUGGGAUUCCAACGGGAGGAAGACGUGUUCCUUGGAAAAUGAGCAGAAUGUAUAAGCAGCAGGAAUAAGGGGAGACCAUGACCUUGAAAUUGAACACCCCCUUUUGAUCCCAGACCUAAAAUAAUCCAGAUUACAGCAAAAGGUUCUUCAGCAACCUUAAUGCAGUUUUUAAAAACAAACCACUCGUGACUAGAUGUCCAAACCCUCCACAUUAUGAACACAACCAAGUCUGCCAAGGGUGCAGCACCCGUGAUCCCAGCGCCAGAUUGUCCCUGUAGCUUAGCACCCAUCUGCAGCCAAUAUGCUGAGCUCUUAACAAAAUUGAGGGGUUUUAAAACCUGGUCUCCUGGGCCUGAUCCCAUGGACCUGGGCUCACCAAAACCAAUGGACUUCAAGGAGCUUUGGAUCAGGCUUUGCGCUAAUUUACUUAUCUCAUAGAACAGCUUAAUUAACAAAUGUUUGCAAAGCACUUCAGGAUCCUUCCACGGACAGUGAGACUCCUCUUGCUGCCAGUCCCACGACAAAGCAAAGAGGUUUAAAGUCAACAGGCAGCAGAUGAAUUGUAAGGACACAGAUGGGGAUGGAGUGACAUCCCGGGUGGAUCGGCCACCACGGAGUCCCCCCUGAACCAUGUCCUACAGGGAAUGGCCAGCACGUGGGCUCAGAGUGGAAGGGAGUCCUUACAGCUUCCCAGCAUUUGGGAUGCUUCUGUUUCAUGUGCAGCUGAGCAGUUCUUGAAAUGAUCUGUGCAGGGACAGGGAGAUGAUAUCUCAAAGCACUUGUGGCGAUGGUAUCCCAGCUUGAGCUUUCUACCUUGGGAUAUUCUAUGUUUUUUUGUGCAAGAAGAAAAUGAAGAAAAGCCUAAAAAAGGUGUCCUGGUUCCAA